rnacentral:rRNA from 1 species
CAGCCGCCGCGGUAAUACAGAGGGUGCGAGCGUUAAUCGGAUUUACUGGGCGUAAAGCGUGCGUAGGUGGUGGUUUAAGUCCGUUGUGAAAGCCCUGGGCUCAACCUGGGAAUUGCAGUGGAUACUGGGUCACUAGAGUGUGGUAGAGGAUAGUGGAAUUUCCGGUGUAGCAGUGAAAUGCGUAGAGAUCGGAAGGAACAUCUGUGGCGAAGGCGACUAUCUGGGCCAACACUGACACUGAGGCACGAAAGCGUGGGGAGCAAACAGGAUUAGAUACCCCAGUAGUCCCUGUCUCUUAUAC